rnacentral:lncRNA from 1 species
GCCCAUGUGUACAUUUUCUCUUCCAAAGUUUUUAUUCGUACAUACUUUGCCGCGAUUUGAUCGAAUAGAAGAUUCUUAAAGGUAAGCAGGAAAGGUGGUGAAAGCAAGGAAGAGAGCAUCCUGCUAAUGGUUAAAGAAUAUAAUGUCUUUCUACCAAAAAAAAGAACAUAAUGUCCACAACUUUCGGUUUGACCUUGGUCUUUUUUAUG